rnacentral:rRNA from 1 species
GUAGGGAAUCUUCCACAAUGGACGCAAGUCUGAUGGAGCAACGCCGCGUGAGUGAAGAAGGUUUUCGGAUCGUAAAGCUCUGUUGUUGGUGAAGAAGGACAGGGAUAGCAACUGAUUCAUGUUUGACGGUAAUCAACCAGAAAGUCACGGCUAACUACGUGCCAGCAGCCGCGGUAAUACGUAGGUGGCAAGCGUUGUCCGGAUUUAUUGGGCGUAAAGCGAACGCAGGCGGGAGAAUAAGUCAGCUGUGAAAGCCCUCAGCUUAACUGGGGAACUGCAGCUGAAACUAUUUUUCUUGAGUGCAGAAGAGGAGAGUGGAACUCCAUGUGUAGCGGUGGAAUGCGUAGAUAUAUGGAAGAACACCAGUGGCGAAGGCGGCUCUCUGGUCUGUAACUGACGCUGAGGUUCGAAAGCAUGGGUAGCGAACAGGAUUAGAAACCCGUGUAGUCC